GGCGCUGCGUAUGCGGCCCGCCACGGUUACGUGUGUGAGUGCCGCCGUGCGCAUGCCAUCCUUCUAGCUUCACUCAGUCUCUUCAUUGAGCACUGGGUACGGUUAGAUCGGUUACUUUGAAAAAAUUAGAGUGUUUAAAGCAGGCUUUUGCUAUGAAUACAUUAGCAUGGAAUAAUAAUCUAGGGCUUCGGUUCUAUUUUGUUGGUUUUGCGUACUGAAGUA
rnacentral:rRNA from 1 species